AAUGAACGCUGGCGGCAGGCCUAAAACAUGCAAGUCGAACGCCCUAGCAAUAGGGAGUGGCGCACGGGUGAGUAACACGUGGGAAUAUGCCUUUCGGUACGGAACAACGUCUGGAAACGGACGCUAAUGCCGUAUGGUCCCUUCGGGGUAAAGAUUUAUCGCCAAAGGAUUAGCCAGCGUCUGAUUAGCUAGUUAGUGAGGUAAUGGCUCACCAAGGCGACGAUCAGUAGCUGGUCUGAGAGGACGAUCAGCCACACUGGGACUGAGACACGGCUCAGACUCCUACGGGAGGCAGCAGUUAGGAAUAUUGGACAAUGGACGCAAGUCUGAUCCAGCCAUGCCGCGUGAGUGAUGAAGGCCUUCGGGUUGUAAAGCUCUUUAGUCCACGAUUAUAAUGACUGUAGUGGAAGAAUAAGCCCCGGCUAACUUCGUGCCAGCCGCCGCCGUAACAC
rnacentral:rRNA from 1 species